GACGAACGCUGGCGGCGUGCCUAACACAUGCAAGUCGAACGGGGUGAUUUCCUUCGGGAGAUCACUUAGUGGCGAACGGGUGAGUAACGCGUGAGAAACCUGCCUUUCAGUGGGGGACAACAGUUGGAAACGACUGCUAAUACCGCAUAAUGUAUAUUUGGGGCAUCCCUUUUAUACCAAAGCUUUAUGUGCUGAAAGAUGGUCUCGCGUCUGAUUAGCUAGAUGGCGGGGUAACGGCCCACCAUGGCGACGAUCAGUAGCCGGUCUGAGAGGAUGAACGGCCACAUUGGGACUGAGAAACGGUCCAGACUCCUACGGGAGGCAGCAGUGGGGAAUAUUGGGCAAUGGGGGAAACCCUGACCCAGCAACGCCGCGUGAAGGAAGAAGGCCUUCGGGUUGGUAAACGUU
rnacentral:rRNA from 1 species